rnacentral:tRNA from 3 species
UCCUCAGUAGCUCAAUGGCAGAGCACCCGGCUGUUAACCGGGUUGUUGUAGGUUCGAGCCCUACCUGGGGAGCCA